GCCAACGACCACAUCACCCUGAAUGCCCACGAUCUCCUCCGAUCUCAGAAGCUAAGCAGUUUCGAGCCUGGUUAGUUCUUGGAC
rnacentral:rRNA from 1 species